rnacentral:rRNA from 1 species
ACAGAGGGUGCGAGCGUUGUCCGGAAUCACUGGGCGUAAAGGGCGCGUAGGCGGCUCGAUAAGGUUGCGGUGAAAGCCCGGGGCUCAACCCCGGGUCGGCCGUGGCGACUGUCGAGCUGGAGCACUGUAGAGGCAGGUGGAAUUCCGGGUGUAGCGGUGGAAUGCGUAGAGAUCGGGAAGAACGUCAGUGGCGAAGGCGGUCUGCUGGGCCGUUGCUGACGCUGAGGCGCGACAGCGUGGGGAGCAAACAGGA